GGGUAUUAAAGUUGUUGCAGUUAAAAGCUCGUUCCUUGGAUUUCAGAAGGUCUUUAGUGGUCCGCCCCUUCGGGGAGCGGGUCACUGGCCUCCUAUGUUCCUAACGGUCCUCAUCCGCGAGGGUGGGGAAUCAACCGCUAGGAUCGUUUACUUUGAGGAAAUUAGAGUGUUCAAAGCAGGCCGUAACUCGCCUCCCAGAAUACGUUAGCCAUGCGGAUAAUGGAAUACGACUUCGCGUCUUGUUUCGUUGGUUUCCGCUUGGCUGAAGGUAAUGAUUGAUAGGGACAGUUGGGGGCAUUAGUAUUUAGUUGUCAGAGGUGAAAUUCUAGGAUUUACUAAAGACUGACCAAUGCGAAAGCAUUUGCCAAGGAUGUUUUCAUUAAUCAAGAACGAAAGUAGGGGGAUCGAAGACGAUCAGAUACCGUCGUAGUCUCUACCGCAAACUAUGCCGACCAGGGAUCCGGAAAGUUUGCAUGGAUGACUCCCCGGGCCCCCUUGUGAGAAAUCAUAAGUGUUGGGCUUUUGGGGGGACUAUGGUCGCCAAGGUUGAAACUUAAAGGAAUUGACGGAAGGGCACCACCAGGAGUGGAACCUGCGGCUUAAUUUGACUCAACACGGGGAAACUUACGAGGUCAGGACACUGUGAGGAUUGACAGAUUUGAAAGCUCUUUCUUGAUUCAGUGGGUGGUUUCUCUGGCCGGAGGUAAGUUGGUGGAGUG
rnacentral:rRNA from 1 species